GUAGGUGGCAGAGUAUGUCUGUAGUGAAAGCGUGUGGCUCAACCCAUAUACACAUUACAAGAAACUGCUCAGCUAGAGGGCGAGAGAGGUUACUAGAAUUCCUAGUGUAGGAGUGAAAUCCGUAGAUAUUAGGAGGAAUACCGAUGGCGUAGGCAGGUAACUGGCUCGUCCCUGACACUAAGGCACGAAAGCGUGGGUAGCAAACGGGAUUAGAUACCCCGGUAGUCCACGCCGUAAACGAUGGAUGCUAGCUGUAAGAGGUAUCGACCCCUCUUGUAGCGAAGCUAACGCGUUAAGCAUCCCGCCUGUGGAGUACGGUCGCAAGACUAAAACAUAAAGGAAUUGACGGGGACCCGCACAAGCGGUGGAGCGUGUUGUUUAAUUCGUUGGUAAACGAAGAACCUUACCCAGGUUUGACAUCCUUGGAAUUUUUCCGAAAGGAAAGAGUGCUUUUAGAGCCAAGUGACAGGUGUUGCAUGGCCGUCGUCAGCUCGUGUCGUGAGAUGUUUGGUUAAGUCCAUCAACGAGCGCAACCCUUAUAGUCUGUUGUAUUUUUCAGGCUAGACUGCCCCGGUAACGGGGAGGAAGGAGGGGAUGAUGUCAGGUCAGUAUUACCCUUACAUCUGGGGCUACAAACACGCUACAAUGGCCGGUACAAAGGGCUUCCAAGUCGCGAGACGGAGCAAAUCCCAUCAAAGCCGGUCCCAGUUCGGAUAGCAGGCUGAAACUCGCCUGCUUGAAGUCGGAAUCGCUAGUAACGGUAGGUCAGCUAUACUACCGUGAAUACGUUCCCGGGUCUUGUACACACCGCCCGUCAAACCAUGAAAGUCGAGGGUACCUGACGUGUGAGCUUCGCCUCGCCCUAAGGUAAACUCGAUGAUUGGGGUU
rnacentral:rRNA from 1 species